GAUGAACGCUGGCGGCGUGCCUAAUACAUGCAAGUCGAGCGAACGGACGAGAAGCUUGCUUCUCUGAUGUUAGCGGCGGACGGGUGAGUAACACGUGGAUAACCUACCUAUAAGACUGGGAUAACUUCGGGAAACCGGAGCUAAUACCGGAUAAUAUUUUGAACCGCAUGGUUCAAAAGUGAAAGACGGUCUUGCUGUCACUUAUAGAUGGAUCCGCGCUGCAUUAGCUAGUUGGUAAGGUAACGGCUUACCAAGGCAACGAUGCAUAGCCGACCUGAGAGGGUGAUCGGCCACACUGGAACUGAGACACGGUCCAGACUCCUACGGGAGGCAGCAGUAGGGAAUCUUCCGCAAUGGGCGAAAGCCUGACGGAGCAACGCCGCGUGAGUGAUGAAGGUCUUCGGAUCGUANAACUCUGUUAUUAGGGAAGAACAUAUGUGUAAGUAACUGUGCACAUCUUGACGGUACCUAAUCAGAAAGCCACGGCUAACUACGUGCCAGCAGCCGCGGUAAUACGUAGGUGGCAAGCGUUAUCCGGAAAUAUUGGGCGUAAAGCGCGCGUAGGCGGUUUUUUAAGUCUGAUGUGAAAGCCCACGGCUCAACCGUGGAGGGUCAUUGGAAACUGGAAAACUUGAGUGCAGAAGAGGAAAGUGGAAUUCCAUGUGUAGCGGUGAAAUGCGCAGAGAUAUGGAGGAACACCAGUGGCGAAGGCGACUUUCUGGUCUGUAACUGACGCUGAUGUGCGAAAGCGUGGGGAUCAAACAGGAUUAGAUACCAUGGUAGUCCACGCCGUAAACGAUGAGUGCUAAGUGUUAGGGGGUUUCCGCCCCUUAGUGCUGCAGCUAACGCAUUAAGCACUCCGCCUGGGGAGUACGACCGCAAGGUUGAAACUCAAAGGAAUUGACGGGGACCCGCACAAGCGGUGGAGCAUGUGGUUUAAUUCGAAGCAACGCGAAGAACCUUACCAAAUCUUGACAUCCUUUGACAACUCUAGAGAUAGAGCCUUCCCCUUCGGGGGACAAAGUGACAGGUGGUGCAUGGCUGUCGUCAGCUCGUGUCGUGAGAUGUUGGGUUAAGUCCCGCAACGAGCGCAACCCUUAAGCUUAGUUGCCAUCAUUAAGUUGGGCACUCUAAGUUGACUGCCGGUGACAAACCGGAGGGAGGUGGGGAUGACGUCAAAUCAUCAUGCCCCUUAUGAUUUGGGCUACACACGUGCUACAAUGGACAAUACAAAGGGCAGCGAAACCGCGAGGUCAAGCAAAUCCCAUAAAGUUGUUCUCAGUUCGGAUUGUAGUCUGCAACUCGACUACAUGAAGCUGGAAUCGCUAGUAAUCGUAGAUCAGCAUGCUACGGUGAAUACGUUCCCGGGUCU
rnacentral:rRNA from 1 species